rnacentral:rRNA from 1 species
AUUGAACGCUGGCGGCAUGCCUUACACAUGCAAGUCGAACGGCAGCACGGGUGCUUGCACCCGGUGGCGAGUGGCGAACGGGUGAGUAAUACAUCGGAACGUACCUUAUCGUGGGGGAUAACGCAGCGAAAGCUGUGCUAAUACCGCAUACGCCCUGAGGGGGAAAGCGGGGGAUCGCAAGACCUCGCGCGAUUAGAGCGGCCGAUGCCUGAUUAGCUAGUUGGUGGGGUAAAAGCCCACCAAGGCGACGAUCAGUAGCUGGUCUGAGAGGACGAUCAGCCACACUGGGACUGAGACAUGGCCCAGACUCCUACGGGAGGCAGCAGUGGGGAAUUUUGGACAAUGGGGGCAACCCUGAUCCAGCAAUGCCGCGUGAGUGAAGAAGGCCUUCGGGUUGUAAAGCUCUUUUGUCAGGGAAGAAACACCGGCUCUAACACAGUCCGGGAAUGACGGUACCUGAAGAAUAAGCACCGGCUAACUACGCGCCAGCAGCCGCAGUAA